rnacentral:piRNA from 1 species
UAGAUAGGAUGUUGUUUUUACAAUUAUUGG